rnacentral:lncRNA from 1 species
GGGACAGGAUGUCAGGGGGGUGUCUGGGUGCCCCAGAGCACCCACACCUCCCCCUCUUACCCCCCAGCUGCCCCCCCCUGGGGUGCCCAUAGCAAUGGCCCCCCCUCGGCUGCAGGCGCUUCUGGGGCGCUGGCGGGAGAAGGUCUUCACCCUCCUGGUGCAGCUGCGGGUGCAGGAGGAGGUGCAGCGGGUGCUGCGGGCGCAGGUGGGGACACUGGGGGCGGCGGUGACAGCGGGGACACGGCGGGUGAGGCGGCUAGAGCUGAGCCUGCGCGAGGGGGCGGCCACCGCUGAGCUGCAGCGGCGGGACAGAGAGCGCCUGGCACAGGAGGUGACACGGCAGCGGGGACGGGCAGAGGCGGCUGAGGAGGCACUGGGAGGACUGGUGCGGGCGGCUGCCAGGCUGGCCGAGGUGGUGACAGCACGCGAGGCUGAGGUGACAGCAGCCACCAGGACCAUGGUCACCCUCAGCGCCCGCCUGCGCCGGGCGGGACAGCGGCUCCGCGUCCUCCAGGCAGUGGCCUUGGGGGCGGCUGAGGAGGUGCCACACAGCGGGGUGACAAAGCAUGAGGUGACGCAGGACGAGGUCAUCCCCCACAAGGACAGGAGGGGACACCCCCCCAGCAGAGCGGCGCUGGGCUCCCUUGUGACUCAGCUGCAGGCCCUGGGCGCCGCCAUCCUCGAGGACAACGGUGACAACCCUGACCCCCCCUUGACCCCACUGCAGACCCAGCCAUCCCAGGAAGCGUUGAGUUGGAUGAGCACAAACCCAUCGCUGAACCUUCAUCCGAUGGAAAGAAUCCACCUAAAAAGUGCAGCGAGUGUCCCCGGGAGCUCCGGUAACACCCGCUGAGGUGUCACCACCCCGGGAGAUGUGGAGAACGACCCCC